ACUGAGCUCGAGUGACGCCCUGCAUUGGCUGCAAGACUUGCGCUGAGAUGUCGUCGUCCUGUCGAAAUUGUGAAGUUACUUGUAUUGUAAGCCAAGGCUCUCCUGAAUUACAGAAAGAUGUCAUGGUUUGUGCCCAUUGAACAGUGGAAGGUCUUUUCUGUACCACCAGUGUCCAUCAUUUACUGUGACACUGGUGUGAUCCCAAUCUAAAGACCCGUGAACAAGAAGAGAAUUAAGGUGGAAGGAACAUUAAAUUUUGGUGAUGCUGAUCUCUUUUGAUGGAGUCCAUUAAUUGAUAUGAACUGGAUUUUAAUUCAGGUGAUUGAGUAAUGAAGACUAUGGGCAUUUUGUGUUUGUUGCUCCCUGAAACCAAUCUGCUUUUUCUGACCAUCGGGCUCCAAGCUAUACCAUUAACGGAGAAUAGAUUUAGACACUUCAGGAGACAAAUAAAAUUAAAAUAUCCCGUGAAACUGAUGGAAUUAAGAAAUUCUACAAGGAUGAAGUGAAGAAUUCAGUAGAAAUUUCUGAAGGGUCAAGAGGUCAACUGACGGCUUGUCACAUGGAGCAUAUAACCUGAUCAUUAGUUGUCUCUCGUUGGAUUACCAGGCGUACAGUGUGAUAUAUUGACAUCCGUGUCUCUAGCUUAUAGAGUCUUCAUACUCAGGACCAGGCUGAAGGGGAUUGUUCUUAGCUGACCUUUAUCAACGGACAUAUCUUUACACCAAAACAAAGUGAAAUUUAAAAAGAAAUUUAAAAAUUUGAUUCUCCAUAAAUGAAAGGAAACCAUCAUCAUCGGAACAAAAAAUUUUUUUCAGAGGAAUCUUUAUUAAAACAACGUGUUCCCAUGACAUUUUGCGUGUUAACGAAAUACAUGUAUUACAGGUGACUGUGUAAAUAUAUUAUACCUGUCAAAUGAGUCACGGAUUGAUUAAAUGUGAAGAGUUUUUAAUUUGUAUUAACAUUGGUGACCAUAUAAAUGAAUAAAAAAUUAUUUGCUUUU
rnacentral:sRNA from 1 species